rnacentral:rRNA from 1 species
GAUCCUGGCUCAGGAUGAACGCUGGCGGCGUGCUUAACACAUGCAAGUCGAGCGAAGCACUUAAGUUUGAUUCUUCGGAUGAAGACUUUUGUGACUGAGCGGCGACGGGGUGAAGGUAACGCGUGGGCAACCUGCCUCAUACAGGGGGAUAACAGUUAGAAAUGACUGCUAAUACCGCAUAAGACCACGGUACCGCAUGGUACAGUGGUAAAAACUCCGGUGGUAUGAGAUGGACCCGCGU